CUCUAAACUGCUUCCUAUAUAGCUUUUUAUUUGUUUAUUUAAGCUUUAUUUAUUUAAGUUUUUAUUGAAGUAUCACUUCAAACAUCACAGAGAAAACAGAAGCCAGCAUCCCUGGCCUAAAGAGAACAGCCAUGACUGCUUUUCAAAGAUAUGCUGCUUUCCCCAAAGAGAGGGCAAAUGCAGACCUAUCCAAUGAAAGCACCCUCAGCAAUGCCCUUCUUCACAAGGAUGAUCACUCGGACCAGCCCAAACAGUAUGGCGAGCAUGGUACAACCUCAUCAUUACCCUGGAAUCAUUACAGCCCUGAUGAUGAGACGAUCAUGAAAUUAGAAGGAGAGAGGAGAUGUGAAGAAGUGACAACACUUCUGUCCCAGCUUCCCAGAACUUUACUCCUGUAUGUCUCAUCUCACCUACAUCCAAAUGAAUGGUGAUCCAAGGCAUGGGACAAGCAGUGCGAUCUUGUGAGCAUUUACAACAGCUGAGCUGGGUGAGGACUCACGCUUUCAUCCGGU
rnacentral:lncRNA from 1 species